UCUCAUUAGACACCAGAGGACACACACAGGGGAGAAGCCACAUGUUUGUGGGGAGUGUGGGCGAUGCUUCAGUGAUAGGACAGGUCUCAUCAGACACCAGAGCACACACACUGGAGAGAAGUCACAUGUUUGUGGGGAGUGUGGGAAAGGCUUCAGUAGGAGGUCACAUCUCAUCACACACCAGGGGAUACACACUGGAGAGAAGCCCCAUGUUUGCAGAGACUGUGGGCGAGGCUUCAGUCAGAGGUCACGUCUCAUCACACACCAAAGGCUACACACAGGGGAGCAGCCACAUGUUUGCGGGGAGUGUGGUCGAGGCUUCAGUGAUAGGACAAGUCUCAUCAGACACCAGAGCACACAUACUGGAGAGAAGCCACAUGUUUGUGGGAAGUGUGGGAAAGGCUUCAGUAGGAGGUCAAAUCUCAUUACACACCAAAAGAUACACAGAGGGGAGAAAUUCCAUUUUUUGGAGAGAGUAUGGACGAGGCUUCAGUCAUAGUUCAAGUCUCAUCACACAUCAGAUGAUUCACAGGGGAGAAGCCUCAUGUUUCCAUGGUGUGUGGUAAAGUAUUCACAUAGAUCACGUCUCCUCACACAUCAGAGUACUCAAGGGGAAAAGCUUCACUUUUGCAGGAUGUGGUCAAGGAUUUAGUCAUAGUUCAGUUCUCAUCAAGCACCAGAGGACACACACAAGAGGAAGCCCCAUUUUUGCAGGGAAUUGUAUGAGGCUCCAGUCAGACGUUAAAUCUCCUCACGCACAAGAGACAAACCUCAUGUUUUCAGGUAGUGUGGACAAGGCUUCAGUAAUGUUACAACUUA